CACACCACCCGCCUCAUACCGCGGACUCACACCGCGCGCCCCCUCACACGGCCCGCUGCCUCACGCCGCGACCCCGCCCCGCCGCUUCACACUGCCGGCACGGCCACGCCCCACGCCCGCAGGCCUGCUCGGGGGUGGUCUGAGCAUGCGCCCUGGUCCCGGCCCCGCGGUGCAUCCUGGGAAGGCGGGCGUGUGUGCGUUAGGCCGGGACACCGGAGUCCGGCUCGCCUCCCUAGGCCUAGCUCGGUCUGCCGUGUCGGUUCCGUUGCUCUGGUGCAAGGUGGCAGCUGUCGGAAGCCAACCCAGUGAAGGCGCCAGCGCAGCCUUGACCCCCCGAGCCCUUCUGCCACGUGCACCUGCGCCGAUUUCCAUGCACCUGACCCGCACCCUUCCGCCUUAGCCCGCAGGAGCCAAAGUCUAGCAAACAUCCUGCGGGUGUGAGGGGGCACGGAGCAGUGUGGUGCAGGCUGCUUGUCUGUCCGGAUCGUCCGUGCCACACCCUCGGCCCGCCACAUGAAUAACUGAAAGGCGACCACACCACGGAGCGGACACCAACUUCAAGCUCUCACUUCCGCUCAGCUUCCUCUGCAUUUUCCUUCCUCGGGGACUCGUGAGUCGGCACAUCAGAAACCACAGGGCGCCACCCCGCCUGCUCGGGAGCAGAGGUUUCGCAGAGGGAGCACUGCAGAGAGAAGUCGCUGUAAGAAGUCAGAUGGGAAAGAAGCUGUCCUCCCAUGGAUGCUCCGGCGCCACCCCGCCUGUUUCCUAGCCCCGCCCUCAUCCAAGGGGACGAUGACACCUCACGCCUGGAGAAUGCGCAAAAGAUGUUAGUGCCCAACCUCAUCUGAUCGCAGCCUUGUGGGGCCGGGCAGUGCAGCUGUAGGCCUUGGAUUGCCGCUAACGACGUGCUGGACUCGGUAGUUAGAGCAGAGAGGCCUCCAGGUCAGGUCCAGUCAACUCUGACCUGCAGGGCUCCUGGCCUUGAGCCAUGGAGACACACAACAGCAGGUCCCUUCAACCUCCUAUUAUAGUCAGGACCUACAAAUCCAGGGAACUAGGACAGUUUUCAUAAAGGAAAGGAAGUGGUGAGAGCUCUUUUUAUGGUUUCCACGUUAUGGUCAUAGACCUUGGAACUAAUCCAACAAAUCUUUAAACAUCACAGAAAAGUUCUUUGCCCCUUUACGCAGUUUUGUGAUGACAGAGUACAAAAUAACUGAAACGUUGUGUUAACUUUAAGUUGUAAAUAAUCAAACAUGUCCUUUCUUAUUUCCUAAACAAUGGAUAAUGAUAAUUUAGUGCCUUUCAUUCACAAACAUCCUUAGUCAAUAGCUUCUCAAGGACUCUGCUAAAGGAAAAAAAAAAGAAAAACAAAGAGAACUAAAUUAAGGCAUUUACGGUUUAUAAUACAUGUGUUUCUCCUGUCUCACUA